GGUAUGGUGAUUGCCCUUUGAGGGAGAGUCUUGGCCCAACUGAAGCAGACCUGGGUUUUCCCUCUAUUACAGUAGUCACACUGGCUUCUGAGAGAAGUGCUAACAAACAAUGAAACUCUUAUAACAGGACAUCCAUGGCAAGGACAUGGCGAACUCAAACUCUGAAGCACCAAGCCGGAUUCUCAUGGUCCGCGGGAUCAAGAUUAACAUCUGGACCCAAGGCAUUUUCAUUCAUCAUUCUUCCAAGGCAAUUGUGGUGCAGGCUGGAAUUUCUGUGACCUUAGUAAUGUGCAGACCCUUUUUUGCCAAAGACCUUUGAAGACGGCACCGGGUCUGGU
rnacentral:lncRNA from 1 species